rnacentral:tRNA from 1 species
GGUGGCUUAGUGGGUAAAGUGCUCAGCAGCUAACUGAAAGAUUGGUGGUUCGAACCCACCAGCCACUG